rnacentral:lncRNA from 1 species
UCUUUUAUUUAUUUGUAGGUUUCUCUACUUCAGGCUCUUCCGAGGGCCUUUGUUUGAGGUGAGGUUCUAUAGUUUGAUGGUUACUUAUGUUCUCCUCUACCCUUCCCCGGUAGCUAGGAAAGAUUUCUAAAUAUAUUUCCUUCCUUCCGUUCAGGGGCACUCUAAAGGCUUUGCAACCUUCAGAGCUGGUUGACAGCCGUCUAGUCAGUCCCUCUCGCUCUUUGAUAGACAUCUUUCGGUUCUCGGUUUCAUCCGACGAACAACUUUAGGUCUUUAUUCUG